rnacentral:misc_RNA from 1 species
UUUCCGUAGGUGAACCUGCGGAAGGAUCAUUAUAAAUGAAAAACGAAUAACUUCAGGGAAGAAGGGAACCUGCACGGUGACCUCCCCUGUCGGGCCACCCAAUACCUUCAAAAUGCCGCCGUCCUAGCGGUGGCAGACGAAAAAAAAACAAGACAAACAAAAUAGAAACAGGCACGGUGGCCCGUUCACCUUCACACAACCCUCCGAGUACCGCUUCCAUGUUGCUUCCCCGCAAAUCCACCUCUUUGGUGAGCGUGGGGGAGGUCCGCAUCAAAUUCACCUGAAUGUCACAGCAGUCAGACAGCCAUUCAUGGAAACAAUAAAACUUUCAACAACGGAUCUCUUGGUUCCC